GCCUAACUGACUCAGAUGGUAGAGCACAUGACUCUUAAUCAUGGGGUGGUGAGUUUAAAACCCACACUGGGCA
rnacentral:tRNA from 1 species